UGGAUUUUAAAUGAAGAAAGAGUGUGGGAAGAUUUUUGGAAAGAGAAAAAGGAAAAAAAAAUAAAAGGAAUUAUUUUUUAUUAAAUAGAGGUUUGGGAUGUGUGAAAACCCUAUUCAUCUUCAUCUUCUUCAAGAAAAACCCUAAAAGAGAAAACCCCAGCAAGCCGCCGUCACCACCGCCACCUUUUCCGUCGCAAGUCGAGUCGUCGUCUGAAGUAGUCAAGCCAUCGCCGUUACGUUUCGUCCCACACGUCGUCGGCCAUCGUCGAGCGGCAGUCGAACCACGAAGGCAGUCGCAUCUUCUCCUGUUGUUAGUCGUCUCCGAACGUAAGUCGCUGCGUCUCCUCCGUUCGUCAGGCUUCGCCUCCAUCCGCUUUCCACCGGGUCAUCAAACGUCCGUCAGUCGAUCGCCAAGUAGCCACCAUCGUCGACCCGUCGCCGUCCGUCAUCGGAGCUCCAUCCAGCUGCCUCGGAGAACACUGCGAACUUGAGCCACACUUCGAGUCGAGUCGUCCGAGUCGCGCAUGCCUAUACAAGCCGCCGAGCCGUCCGCGUGCCUUAGCCUGAGCCGAGCCAAGCCGUCUAUCCCUUUAAGUCGCCAAGCCUCUUUUGUCCUUUUCACCUAAAAUUUUGGUAGAGGUAAGAACAAAGAAAGUUGUAGACCCAAGAAGUGACUGUGGCGAGCCAUAGGGAUCAUUUUGCUUCCGCUUUAUGUCCUUUUGCUUUCGAGUUAGGAUUUUACUUAAUUUUAUCUUUACAGAUAUUUGUUUAUGAUUUUAACGAGUACUUGAGGUCUUGUUUCAUUUUUUAUAUUUUUUUAUUCAUGAAAUUUAUUUAUCUUUAA